UGGGGCGUCGCGCGGAGCUGAGGAAUAGGUAGUUUCUCUUCUCGCUGCUCUUGAAGGAAAUGGAUCUCUAACAGAGAACACUUUAGGCAGUAAGUUUUCAGACAGUCUCCAUAUGCCAGGCUGUGUUCAAGGACCUAUGAAAACAGCGGUGGACGAGAAAGAUGUAAUCGGUGUCCCUGUGGAGUUUACAACCUGGAGGAGCCACCCUCUGAGGCAGAUUCUCUCAUCAUCCCCAUUUUACAAGAAUGGAAACUGAGUCACGGGAGGUUGGAUCAUCCCAGCCCAAGGUCACAC